rnacentral:lncRNA from 1 species
CACUGGGGGACUGUACCUGAAGGUGCCUCAGAUGCCUUCUCUCCUGCAGUACUUACUGUGGGUUUUUCUUCCGGAUCAAGACCAGCGAUCUCAGCUAAUCCUCCCACCUCCGAUCCACGUGGACUAUAGGGCUGCCUGCUUCUGCCAUCGAAGUCUCAUUGAGAUUGGCUAUGUCUGCUCUGUGUGUCUGUCUAGUAAGUUCAUUUGGAGUUUUUUUACUGUCUGAGGUGGGGUGUAGGGCAGGAUGGGGCAAAAGGUGAUCCAUGCUUUCCAAGUCCUGAUUUCCUUGUUUUCCAAACUUUUAACAGUUUUCUGCAACUUCAGCCCCAUCUGCACCACGUGCGAGUAAGUAUCUUCCCGGGGCCGGGUGGUCGAAGGUUCCUGAGCCUCAGAGCCCUG